rnacentral:rRNA from 1 species
AUUGAACGCUGGCGGCAGGCCUAACACAUGCAAGUCGAACGGUAACAGGAAGCAGCUUGCUGCUUCGCUGACGAGUGGCGGACGGGUGAGUAAUGUCUGGGAAGCUGCCUGAUGGAGGGGGAUAACUACUGGAAACGGUAGCUAAUACCGCAUAACGUCGCAAGACCAAAGAGGGGGACCUUAGGGCCUCUUGCCAUCGGAUGUGCCCAGAUGGGAUUAGCUAGUAGGUGGGGUAACGGCUCACCUAGGCGACGAUCCCUAGCUGGUCUGAGAGGAUGACCAGCCACACUGGAACUGAGGCACGGUCCAGACUCCUACGGGAGGCAGCAGUGGGGAAUAUUGCACAAUGGGCGCAAGCCUGAUGCAGCCAUGCCGCGUGUAUGAAGAAGGCCUUCGGGUUGUAAAGUACUUUCAGCGGGGAGGAAGGGAGUAAAGUUAAUACCUUUGCUCAUUGACGUUACCCGCAGAAGAAGCACCGGCUAACUCCGUG